GGUCUCGUAGCUCCAUGGACAAAGAGCAGCCGGCUUCUACCCGGCGGGUUGAGGGUUCGAGUCCCUCCGAGACCGCCA
rnacentral:tRNA from 1 species